rnacentral:tRNA from 1 species
GCGGAAGUGGCGGAAUGGCAGACGCACUGGAUUCAGGUUCCAGCGGGGUAACACUCGUGCGGGUUCAAGUCCCGCCUUCCGCA